rnacentral:rRNA from 1 species
CCUACGGGGGGCAGCAGUGAGGAAUAUUGGUCAAUGGACGAGAGUCUGAACCAGCCAAGUAGCGUGAAGGAUGACUGCCCUAUGGGUUGUAAACUUCUUUUAUAUGGGAAUAAAAUGUUCCACGUGUGGGAUUUUGUAUGUACCAUAUGAAUAAGGAUCGGCUAACUCCGUGCCAGCAGCCGCGGUAAUACGGAGGAUCCGAGCGUUAUCCGGAUUUAUUGGGUUUAAAGGGAGCGUAGGGGGAUUGUUAAGUCAGUUGUGAAAGUUUGCGGCUCAACCGUAGAAUUGCAGGUGAUACUGGCAGUCUUGAGUACAGUAGAGGUGAGCGGAAUUCGUGGUGAAGCGGUGAAAUGCGUAGAUAUCAGGAAGAACACCGAUUGCGAAGGCAGUUCACUGGACUGCAACUGACACUGAGGCUCGAAAGUGUGGGUAGCAAACAGGAUUAGAUACCCUUGUAGUC